GAUGAACGCUAGCGAUAGGCUUAACACAUGCAAGUCGAGGGGCAGCAUGGUCUUAGCUUGCUAAGACUGAUGGCGACCGGCGCACGGGUGCGUAACGCGUAUGCAACUUGCCUCACAGAGGGGGAUAACCCGUCGAAAGACGGACUAAUACCGCGUACACUUGGGAUAGGGCAUCCUGACCCAAGGAAAUGAAAUUCGCUGUGAGAUAGGCAUGCGUCCCAUUAGCUAGUUGGUGAGGUAACGGCUCACCAAGGCGACGAUGGGUAGGGGAACUGAGAGGUUGAACCCCCACACUGGUACUGAGACACGGACCAGACUCCUACGGGAGGAAGCAGUGAGGAAUAUUGGUCAAUGGGCGAGAGCCUGAACCAGCCAAGUCGCGUGAAGGAUGACUGUCUUAUGGAUUGUAAACUUCUUUUAUACGGGAAUAACAAGAGUCACGUGUGGCUCCCUGCAUGUACCGUAUGAAUAAGCAGCGGCUAACUCCGUG
rnacentral:rRNA from 1 species